UACCUCCUCCACGACGCGCCGUUCGCCUCGACCCACUGUAGCGCGCCGACCGACGAGGAGACCCUGGGCCGCUGCGAGCGGUGGUAGGACACCUUGGGCGCCCGGCGGCGGAGACUACCCUCAUCCCCGUUUACGGAACCCGGUUCACCUCGGUAGCAACUGUAGCGGCAGAUGUCCCACCUAGAGCGCCCGUUCUCCAAAUAGUCCCACCCGUCGUAACCGCUGGCCCGGUAGGAGCGGCCGCCGAGCUCGAUGCGAAAGCGUCCGACCACGGGCCGGUUGCUCAAACCCGUCGACGGGUUGUCGCACAUGACCUAUGUGGGGAUGCUGCCGGCGUACAUGCACAUGCUUCAACCUAAGUUAUGCCUCCUUCUUCAGGGCCCAAGCCGCCUACUGAGCGCACGGCCGUUAGUCGUGCUUCCGCCGUCUCUAGGGGCGCCUGCUGAAGAGCACCGCGUUCAUGCCGUCUUCGGCGGACACCUCUUACGGGACCUGAGUCGUCAACUGCGUUGAGCCAACUCGACGCCACGUGAUAUAAAUCGACUAAAAUAACCCUUCACCACCUUGGUCCCUCCACCCUUAUUAAAGUCAUAAUUUUGACACCCCCUUUCGUCUGUGCAUCCGCCCCCGCCGGCGCUCUUGAUGCUGUUCGCGUACGUGACGGACAGGUUCCUCCUCCAGCAGCACGUACGCGCCUACGCAGCGGCCCGGGUCAAGAGGACGGCGUGGAAGGCGUUGUAGUAGCAGGAGAGGUAGUAGUGACUCCAUCCAGGCGACGCCCACGAGCACGAAGACCAACUAAGCAGGACGACGCGGCCAGAAACAAGACGUCCCGGUACAGACAACCACGGUGCUUUGCCGGCACCGUGACGAACACACUCGGUGCUGCCGCGAUGGGCGCGCGGACGGGACUUUGCGACGGCGCUCGGCUCGGCGGCCGCAAGUAGACCUCUUCGCGCCCUUCUUCUUCUACCUUUCACAUCAGACGUUCGAAGAGUUUAGACCCAUGAGAAACACCCAAGAACGUCCGUGUUCGUUCCCUUCUGGUAGCGAAGCGAGGAGACCCGGCGGCGACGAGGUUGGGAUGACCUGCGGUACGUUCAUUGAAAAAGGGCGGAACGACCUCCUCUACUUCGUGUACCGUUUCGUCCUCAAGUAACGCGUGAAUUCUUCGGUUGAACAGCUAAAUAUCCAAUGUAAUCUGUCUUGAAGAGAAUAUCUAGUUCAGUACAAAGAGUGGUAGGAGGAGUAGUACAUCGUCUCCUCCGCAGGACCUCGCGCCACCUCCGUAAAACCCGCACCUCGUACCGGGCCUCGUACCGGAACGCCAAGGACCUCGGAUCCCUCCGGUACGCUCUUUGGACCCCGUCGUUCUCGUCUCCGGACGCCUCGCGAGGGACCCCGUUCCGGACCCCGCUAGACGUCCCUCCUCGUCUCCGGACCUCGACGCCCGUCUUCUCCAGACCUCGACGUCCCUCCUCGUCUCCGGACCUCGGUCGCCGCUCUAGACCUCCGCUGCUGCUCUCCUUCCUCACU
rnacentral:rRNA from 1 species